UACGAAGGGGGCUAGCGUUGUUCGGAAUUACUGGGCGUAAAGCGUGCGCAGGCGGCUUCUCAAGUCAGGGGUGAAAGCCCAGAGCUCAACUCUGGAAUUGCCUUUGAGACUGAGUGGCUUGAGUACGAGAGAGGUGAGUGGAAUUCCCAGUGUAGAGGUGAAAAUUCGUUAGAUAUUGGGAAGAACACCAAUGGCGAAGGCAGCUUGCUGGCAUGUAUCUGACGCUCAGGCACGAAAAGCGUG
rnacentral:rRNA from 1 species